rnacentral:rRNA from 1 species
GACAGAGGGUGCAAACGUUGUUCGGAAUUACUGGGCGUAAAGCGUGUGUAGGCGGCCACAUAAGUCGGAUGUGAAAGCCCUGGGCUCAACCCAGGAAGUGCACUCGAUACUGUGUGGCUUGAGUACUGGAGAGGUUGGUGGAAUUCUCGGUGUAGAGGUGAAAUUCGUAGAUAUUCGCAAGAACACCAGUGGCGAAGGCGGCUU